AACGCGUGGGGAAUCUGCCUUUGAGCGGGGGACAACAUUUGGAAACGAAUGCUAAUACCGCAUAAAAACUUUAAACACAAGUUUUAAGUUUGAAAGAUGCAAUUGCAUCACUCAAAGAUGAUCCCGCGUUGUAUUAGCUAGUUGGUGAGGUAAAGGCUCACCAAGGCGAUGAUACAUAGCCGACCUGAGAGGGUGAUCGGCCACAUUGGGACUGAGACACGGCCCAAACUCCUACGGGAGGCAGCAGUAGGGAAUCUUCGGCAAUGGACGAAAGUCUGACCGAGCAACGCCGCGUGAGUGAAGAAGGUUUUCGGAUCGUAAAACUCUGUUGGUAGAGAAGAACGUUGGUGAGAGUGGAAAGCUCAUCAAGUGACGGUAACUACCCAGAAAGGGACGGCUAACUACGUGCCAGCAGCCGCGGUAAUACGUAGGUCCCGAGCGUUGUCCGGAUUUAUUGGGCGUAAAGCGAGCGCAGGUGGUUUAUUAAGUCUGGUGUAAAAGGCAGUGGCUCAACCAUUGUAUGCAUUGGAAACUGGUAGACUUUGAGUGCAGGAGAGGAGAGUGGAAUUCCAUGUGUAGCGGUGAAAUGCGUAGAUAUAUGGAGGAACACCGGUGGCGAAAGCGGCUCCCUGGCCUGUAACUGACACUGAGGCUCGAAAGCGUGGGGAGCAAACAGGAUUAGAUACCCUGGUAGUCCACGCCGUAAACGAUGAGUGCUAGAUGUAGGGAGCUAUAAGUUCUCUGUAUCGCAGCUAACGCAAUAAGCACUCCGCCUGGGGAGUACGACCGCAAGGUUGAAACUCAAAGAAAUUGACGGGGGCCCGCACAGGCGGUGGAGCAUGUGGUUUAAUUCGAAGCAACGCGAAGAACCUUACCAGGUCUUGACAUACUCGUGCUAUUCCUAGAGAUAGGAAGUUCCUUCGGGACACGGGAUACAGGUGGUGCAUGGUUGUCGUCAGCUCGUGUCGUGAGAUGUUGGGUUAAGUCCCGCAACGAGCGCAACCCCUAUUGUUAGUUGCCAUCAUUAAGUUGGGCACUCUAACGAGACUGCCGGUGAUAAACCGGAGGAAGGUGGGGAUGACGUCAAAUCAUCAUGCCCCUUUAUGACCUGGGCUACACACGUGCUACAAUGGAUGGUACAACGAGUCGCGAGACAGUGAUGUUUAGCUAAUCUCUUAAAACCAUUCUCAGUUCGGAUUGUAGGCUGCAACUCGCCUACAUGAAGUCGGAAUCGCUAGUAAUCGCGGAUCAGCACGCCGCGGUGAAUACGUUCCCGGGCCUUGUACACACCGCCCGUCACGCCACGGGAGUUGGGAGUACCCGAAGUAGGUUGCCUAACCGCAAGGAGGGCGCUUCCUAAGGUAAGACCGUGACUGGGGUGAAGUCGUAACAAGGUA
rnacentral:rRNA from 1 species